UACGAAGGGUGCAAGCGUUAAUCGGAAUUACUGGGCGUAAAGCGCGCGUAGGUGGUUCAGUAAGUUGGAAGUGAAAUCCCCGGGCUCAACAUGGGAACUGCUUUCAAAACUGCUGAGCUAGAGUACGGUAGAGGGUGGUGGAAUUUCCUGUGUAGCGGUGAAAUGCGUAGAUAUAGGAAGGAACACCAGUGGCGAAGGCGACCACCUGGACUGAUACUGACACUGAGGUGCGAAAGCGUGGGGAGCAAACAGG
rnacentral:rRNA from 1 species